rnacentral:rRNA from 1 species
UACGUAGGGUGCAAGCGUUAAUCGGAAUUACUGGGCGUAAAGCGUGCGCAGGCGGUUCUAUAAGACAGAUGUGAAAUCCCCGGGCUCAACCUGGGAACUGCAUUUGUGACUGUAGAGCUGGAGUACGGUAGAGGGGGAUGGAAUUCCGCGUGUAGCAGUGAAAUGCGUAGAUAUGCGGAGGAACACCGAUGGCGAAGGCAAUCCCCUGGACCUGUACUGACGCUCAUGCACGAAGGCGUGGGGAGCAAACAGG